rnacentral:tRNA from 1 species
GAAGGUAUAGCUCAAGUGGUAGAGCAGGUGCUUAGCAUGCACGAGGUCCUGGGUCCGACCCUGAGUACCUCCU